UACGGAGGGUGCGAGCGUUGUCCGGAAUCACUGGGCGUAAAGGGCGCGUAGGCGGCGCGAGCAGUCGGCGGUGAAAGCCCGGAGCUCAACUCCGGGUCGGCCGUCGAUACUCUCGUGCUUGAGCACUGUAGAGGCAGGUGGAAUUCCGGGUGUAGCGGUGAAAUGCGCAGAUAUCAGGAGGAACACCAAUUGCGAAGGCAGCUCGCUGGGACGUUACUGACGCUGAGACGCGAAAGCGUGGGGAGCAAACAGG
rnacentral:rRNA from 1 species